rnacentral:misc_RNA from 1 species
GAACUUUGCAGGUCUCAACUUCACCGAGUACACAAACCUGAAGCAAGUUCAUUUUGUGCACUAUCUGUUCCAAUAUGUUCUUGACCAAAGGUUUGUGGGGGUCGUUGAAAUUCUGGUCUUCGUUAAUUUUCCUGGUUUUGCUUCUUGUUAUUGCCAGUUCAUGUGAUUCAUUGUGCGAUAUGGGACUUAGUUGAGGCCAUUUUCAAUUCUAUUUAUGCAUACAAAUAGCCUAACAUUAAAUGCCAACUUCAAGCUACUUUUCCAUGGAGGAAGUAAAAACACUUCAGCAUUUUCUUUCAGUUACUACUAGAGCCCACGAUUGUUUUCCAUAAAGUUACACUUUUUUGUAAUUUUGAAGAAUUAAAUAUAUAUUGAUUCAUUGUCCA